rnacentral:lncRNA from 1 species
AUGGUGAGAGAUGGCGUUAGGUUGGGGCAUAACACAUCCAGGAGGGUGCUAUGGGCCCCGCCCAUCCCUACCCCAGCCCUACUUGAUAAGAAGGUCAAUGUCCACAAAGGUCACACAAAGAAACCUAAAAGUAGCUGGGUUCUGGGAUUCUGUUCACACCACUCUCGUCUGCAGAUUUUAUUUCCGCAUCUGGGCUCUGUUCUAAAUCCUAGGAGGAUUUUCCCCCAUGAAUUUAACAUGACUGACGAAGACUGCUCCAGGGGCUCUGCUGCUGCAUAUGGCCAGGAGAGCAUGCGAGUGAGCGGUACGGGGUGGAGGAGAGCGACAAGGCCACCAUUUGUAAGCUUCUUCAAGGGCCGUCCCUACACGUGUGGAACGAUGCUCAUGCAUGCUGGGCGGGUAUGGCCCUUAGACUCAAGGCAGCACCUUCUGGAAUGGUACUCAGGUUAUCUAUUCGAGUCCAACUCCCUACCGUGUCUGACCAUGGCUUUCCUGGGUUUUAGGUAUUCUAUAAGCUCUACCAAAGCAAGUGUAACCUCCACAAAUGAACCAGUUACACUGGAAAAGGAAACUGGAAGCAGAAUUAUAAACCUCAGUGCCUCCUCUUUCCCCUCUUUGUAGGAGAACGUGUAAGGUGUACGUACAUAAGGUAUAAAACGUAGUAUCUAGUCUGGGGGAGCCAUGACCUCCCCUCACCUGGGUUUGGUUCCAGACCACCUCACAAUAAAUGGAAUAUCACAAUCA